rnacentral:rRNA from 1 species
GACGAACGCCGGCGGCGUGCCUAAUACAUGCAAGUAGAACGCUGAAGGAGGAGCUUGCUUCUCUGGAUGAGUUGCGAACGGGUGAGUAACGCGUAGGUAACCUGCCUGGUAGCGGGGGAUAACUAUUGGAAACGAUAGCUAAUACCGCAUAAUAGCAGUUGUUGCAUGACAACUGUUUGAAAGGUGCAAUUGCACCACUACCAGAUGGACCUGCGUUGUAUUAGCUAGUUGGUGGGGUAACGGCUCACCAAGGCGACGAUACAUAGCCGACCUGAGAGGGUGAUCGGCCACACUGGGACUGAGACACGGCCCAGACUCCUACGGGAGGCAGCAGUAGGGAAUCUUCGGCAAUGGACGGAAGUCUGACCGAGCAACGCCGCGUGAGUGAAGAAGGUUUUCGGAUCGUAAAGCUCUGUUGUAAGAGAAGAACGAGUGUGAGAGUGGAAAGUUCACACUGUGACGGUAUCUGACCAGAAAGGGACGGCUAACUACGUG